rnacentral:rRNA from 1 species
UACCAGCACCCCGAGUGGUCGGGACGAUUAUUGGGCCUAAAGCAUCCGUAGCCGGUUCUACAAGUCUUCCGUUAAAUCCACCUGCUCAACAGUUGGGCUGCGGAGGAUACUAUAGAGCUAGGAGGCGGGAGAGGCAAGCGGUACUCAGUGGGUAGGGGUAAAAUCCGUUGAUCCAUUGAAGACCACCAGUGGCGAAGGCGGCUUGCCAGAAUGCGCUCGACGGUGAGGGAUGAA